GCGCGCCCUGCGCUGCUGCCGCUCCUCGGCGGGCCGCGCCGCAGCCCCGCGGGCAGCCGACGGGUGGACCCCCCCCACCCUUUCCCCCGGUCCUACAUCCCAUCAGCACGCCUACAGCCCCCCACCGGCAUCGGCCCGGGCAUCCCCGUCCUGCCCCGCCGCCGCGAUGAGGAGGCGCACCGCCUGGGGAGCCGCGCCGUGCGCCCGGCUCCGGCUCGGCGCUGGACAAGGUCUCUUCCAUGGACAUUGAACGCCCAGCUACCUGUGCCUAUUGCCUGUGAUGGAAGAACUUGAUGUUAAUGUGAGUUCGAGUGAGGGCUUUGGCGUAGCAGAGAAGAUCGUGCUGCUCACCUUCAUCUCGGCGGUUAUUCUGAUGGCCAUCCUGGGGAACCUGCUGGUGAUGGUGGCGGUGUGCCGGGACAGGCAGCUCAGGAAAAUCAAGACCAAUUAUUUCAUUGUUUCCCUUGCCUUUGCGGACCUGCUGGUGUCAGUGCUGGUGAUGCCAUUUGGAGCCAUCGAGUUGGUCCAGGACAACUGGAUCUAUGGAGAGAUGUUUUGCCUCGUUCGGACAUCUCUCGAUGUCCUGCUCACCACAGCAUCAAUCCUGCACCUGUGCUGUAUCUCACUGGACAGGUACUAUGCUAUUUGCUGCCAGCCACUGGUUUACAGGAACAAGAUGACUCCAUUGCGCAUUGCUGUAAUGCUUGGAGGCUGCUGGGUAAUCCCAACAUUUAUUUCUUUCCUCCCAAUCAUGCAAGGCUGGAAUAGCAUUGGCAUCAUUGAUCUGAUCCAGCAAAGGCAGUUCAACAAGGCUUCCAACUCCACCUACUGCAUAUUCAUGGUCAACAAGCCAUAUGCCAUUACCUGCUCCGUGGUGGCCUUCUACAUUCCCUUCCUCCUGAUGGUGCUGGCCUACUACCGCAUCUACGUCACCGCCAGGGAGCAUGCCCACCAGAUUCGGGUGCUGCAGCGCGCGGGGACCCCCGCUGACGGCCGGCAGCACCCCCCGGACCAGCACAGCACACACCGCAUGAAGACUGAGACCAAAGCUGCCAAGACCCUGUGCAUCAUCAUGGGGUGCUUCUGCCUGUGCUGGGCCCCCUUCUUUGUCACAAACAUAGUGGACCCUUUCAUAAACUACACGGUGCCAGGGAAGCUGUGGACAGCUUUUCUGUGGCUGGGCUACAUCAAUUCAGGGUUGAACCCCUUCCUCUACGCCUUCCUGAACAAGUCUUUCAGACGUGCCUUCCUCAUCAUCCUGUGCUGUGGUGAUGAGCGAUACCGAAGGCCUUCUAUCUUGGGGCAGACAGUCCCCUGUUCCACCACCACAAUAAAUGGAUCGACUCACAUGCUAAGGCAUUAAGACAGCCACAGAGACUGCAGAGCUUCCUGAGGCAGAGCAAAGCAAUCACUUUGGGCUGGGCCAGCCCUGGUGGCUGCGGCUGCUCCUGCGCAGCCAAGGCAGCGAGCUGCUGCAAGCAGCGAGGCUCAGGCACCCCAACAACCUCCAGACGACAGCCUGGCAAAUGCAGCCCUCUCCUCGCUGCUCGCCCGCCUCUUCUCCGCCUUUCUGUGCUCAGAGCCAUCCCUUGAUGUCCGACAAGCUGGAAGCUCUCCCAGCGCGGGCGCUUCGUUGGCAAACAUGCAUUUAGCGUCAGCCAGGGGGACGCACGCCUUCCCUAUCACAGUUCUCCACUGGACAGUGGUGGCCGCUGGCAGCAGCAGAAGUGUCUGGAGGAGGGAGAGACAGUGACGACAACACAGUGCACAGUCAAGAUGAGGUCUCUGCCCAACCUGCUGAAGACCCCAGAAACCAGAGCGGGAAUCAGGGUACAGGUUAGCUGUUGGUACAUCACCCUAAUACUGGCUCCCUCUCGUUCUCCCUCAGACGUUCACACAUUCCUGGAAUCAACUUAUUGUGUAAAGCAGCAGGAAGCUAUUUCUGGAGAGGAAAAGGAGAUGCUCAUAGGCUGUGUUUUCGGGGAGGUGUCGGGUCCCCGCUCUGUUGGUGGUGCUGGCAAUCAGAGGCUGUGUGGAGGCUGCGGGAGGACCUGGAAUUCAUCUGGCUGCAGCAGCCAGCCAGGGCAAGGAAGGGCCUUGCUGCUGCUUUAAAAGAAAAGAAGAAAGAAAAAAGAAAAUGGGAUAUUUCAGUACAUGCACAACUUUGCUUGGACAAACUCUCAAAAGGCUGACACGGAGAUUAAAGGUUCAGGGUUGGACUGAAACUCAGGGUCUCGCAGCUAAUGGGUAAACAGCUGGAGGUGUUGAUCUAACUGCAGAGGCUUCAGGCAAACUGUGCCACGAGAGACCCUGGGACACCCUAAUGACUUCUCUUUAGCUUAAUGCGUUUUUGUAAAAAACGGCACCACCUGCUAAAUUGCUGACCUUGCACAACUGUUUUCUGACUCCUGCAGAAGAAGAAAGGUACACUGUUUUACGUAACGGACAUCAUCAGGAGCAGGAGAAGCUUCCCAUCCACUAUGACCCAGAAUCCCAAGAGUCCUGUUUCUAGUCACAGACCUAGAAGAGGAAUGGCCCAGCUGGAGGAACAGAUUCCUUUUAGGGUACCCAAAGGAUUCCUAGACAGCAGGACUUUAUGAAACCCCAUUCAUCUGCAUUGUCACCGUGCCUCCUGCACUGCCUUUGUACGAACGCCCAGCCACAAGCACGUAGAUCCAUGUGGACAAGGGAAGGCACAUGAACAGAAGGGAUCUCUGCAUCCACAAGGCUGGUGAGACUAUGUGACUGCGGCAGAGCCUUACUCCAGGUGAGAGCACAUUUCUGUCAGUGUGAACAAACACCACUGAUACCAACCACCUGGUACAGGGACUCCUGGUACUCCUUUCCAGCUGUGGUCUCCAUGAGCCACAUCUCUGUCCUGUGACAGCAAGAUCUGAAAGAGCUCUGGCCUGAAGCCCCAACGUUAUGUGAGACGCUUGCUUUAUCUGCCUGCCUGUGACUGGAUGCUGUCUGGAUAGAAAACAGUGCUGCAUUCUCUUCACCCAAACAGGAGGAAGUAUUUGCCUUUCGAUUAUCAUUACUGGUGAAAGGUCAGCAGGAGAUGCUGAUUAACCCUGCC